UACGAAGGGGGCGAGCGUUGUUCGGAAUUACUGGGCGUAAAGGGCGCGUAGGCGGCCCCUUUUGUCGCGUGUGAAAGCCCGGGGCUCAACUCCGGAACUGCCUUUAAGACUGCAUCGCUUGAAUCCAGGAGAGGUGAGUGGAAUUCCGAGUGUAGAGGUGUAAUUCGUAGAUAUUCGGAAGAACACCAGUGGCGAAGGCGGCUCACUGGACUGGUAUUGACGCUGAGGUGCGAAAGCGUGGGGAGCAAACAGG
rnacentral:rRNA from 1 species